rnacentral:lncRNA from 1 species
AAAAAUUCAUAUAUAAUAUGAUCACUACUUGUGCCAUUUUCAAGUGUACAACUGUUGGCUUUUAGUACAUUCACACUGUUGCCUAACGAUCACCACUAUCUAAUUCCAUCCAUCUAACAUUUUCAUCACCCCAAAGAGAAGCCCUGUGCCCAUGAAGCAGUCACUCUCCAUACUCCCCUCCCCAGCCAUCCUCAUCCCACUUUCCCUCAGGGAGAUCAGGGCCCGUGGCAGAGGUGGUUCUGGUGGCCAUUGUGGAAGUGACUGUGAAGACCCUGCUCCUCCUCCUCAUCUUACUCAUAAUGAGUUCCUACAGGAGGAAGGUGGUGAGGCCUGCUGGGGGCAUGGAGGAUGCAAACACCAUCCUAGGUUAACCCCUCAGGUAAGCGAAGUGGGUGUCUCACCAUCCAGUAUCCCAUCGCACACCUCCCCAAGAUUGGCCCCCAGGAUUGCUACACUCAGCAUGGACAAAGUGGAGCUUCCAGUUUCCUCCCUAAACCAAUUUCUCUGCUAGGUUCCCCAUCACAAUCAUGAAACCAUGGCCCCAUUGCUAAGGCCAGAAUUGGGGUGUGGUUCUCCGCUGUACCUCCUUCCUUUCUCCCCG